CCGAUCUAAAUCCUAUAUAUGAAUGAUAUCUUUUCUUCAGAUCUCUCUGUUGAUUGUUGUUCUUGUUGCGAUUUCUGACACUGUUUGGUUAGUUUUAGGUUUUUUUUUUUGAGGUAAUCGUGAAAUUCGAUUAUAUUUGAUUGGAUGUUAUUGUUGUUGUUUAUAUUCAUGUUCUAGGUUUUGUAUGCCCUUGGAUCGUUUCGAUAGUUUCACUCUGGAAUUUUGUGCUUUGUUAUUGGUGUUGCCAUGUUGUUGUGUAUGAUCUUUAUCAAUCCGGCUAGCCCGCUUGGAUUGAGUGAUUUGAUGAGAAAUCGUAAGAAACGAUGAGAUUCUCAUGUUUGGUUUACAAAUCGAGUAAGAAAUGGAGUGAGAGAAUUCAAUAUGCCACUUUUAUUUCUCACCAAAAAUGGUGAGAAACUAUACUGAUUGGCCGUAUAUUUUUAUACUACUAAGGUUACAGAAGAAAAAUAAAUCUCACCCACAUCACACAAUCAUUUCAUUUCACAAUCGUUUUUUAUGUCGGUUUGAUGCACAUGCCACGCUGAGGAUGGGAUGUAGGUGUUUGGGCCUAAUUGUUUGCUGAUCAUUAUCGUAUCUGUGCUAGCCUCCUCUCCUUUUUCUCCAUCUGGAAUAUUGUUUUUCAGAUGAUGCUAUUUAUGUUUCCUGAGGUUGAUAUGUUAUAGUGUCUACGAAUUUUUUUUUACCCUGAAAAAGUACCUAUAAAGUGCCUUCAAUUUAUAAAUGUGUGGUGUAGAUUUAAAUUGUCACACAAUCACAGCACCUUUGAUCAUCCUCACUAGCCCCAGACUUGGUUUGGAGAAUGAGAUUCAAUUAUUAUGAUGUUGACAUUUUCCCUCCAAAUUUUUGGUAAAUAGACAGCAUUCGAUGCUUCUUUACUUUCAAGAAAUAUUAUUAAUAUCAUAUAAUGCUAGUGCUUACUGAUUAAUGCAGGAGUCUAAAAUUUUUUCAAAUUCACUGAAUUUUUAAAAUUUUUUGCAUGUAUUAGGCUCGGUUGCAUUGGCCCUUUCAUAUGAUGGAUGGAAACGCAUUAGAGCAUCUCUAAUCCUUGCUCUCUCUUUUUUCAUCAAAUUUGAUUGAAAAUUUGGUUAAAAGCUCGAUUUUCUCUCUAUCUCUUUGUAUGUAAUUGAUUGAUUGAUUGGUUCGUUUAUAUUCACGUGAUACCCCUAGAUCGUUUUGAAAUUUUCCGUCUCGAAUAUCAUUUUUUGAGAUUGAUGUUGGUUGUAGGGUUGUUGUUAGGUUUGAUGCGUAUCAAACGCACUGCACAUGAUGUUGAUAUUUGGAUUCGAGGCUAUUAUUUGCUGAUCGUUAUCAUCUAUUUUUCUGAGCCCCAAAUCCUUCUUGUGUUUUUUUUUUUUGUUUCUGUGAUGAUGCUUUAUUUAUGUGUUCUGAUGAUGCUAUUUAUGUAUCUGAUCCAUGCUUUAUAAGUUCUCUCUGGGUCCUUUUUCUUGAUUGAUUGUUGUUAUUUUAUUUUAUUUUAUUUUUUUUUGAGAACUGUCUAAUUUUUGCAUGCAUUAGGCUCGGUUGCAUUGGCCCUUUCAUAUGAUGGAUGGAAACACAUUAGAGCAUCUCUAAUCCUUGCUCUCUCUUUUUUCAUCAAAUUUGUUUGAAAAUUUGGUUAAAAGCUCGAUCUAGUAUUGGAACGCUCCAAUCCUUUGUUUUUUGUUUUUAUCAAAUCUUUUUGAAAAAUCCCAAACUUAUCCUAAAAUAUUGUUUUAACCAUUUCUGAUGAAAUAAAAUAACUCCUUAUUCUUACUCU